CAAAAACUCAACCAACCUUUCUCUCUGCAAGAAACCAAACCAAAAGUCAUUGAUAAAAAAUUGUUGGAAAAAAAAAAUGGAAGGCGUUGUUGCCUAUGAGAAUGAUCUCAACCUCAAGGCAACUGAGCUCAGACUUGGGUUGCCAGGAACUGAAAGAAAUCAGGAACAAGCAGUUUCUUGUGCUAGAAACAACAAGAGGCCAUUGCCGGAGACCGGAGAUCAGAAUGGUGGAGCCAAAGCCAAAUCUGAUGCUCCCAACACACCUCCUGCCCCUAAAGCACACACAGUGGGGUGGCCGCCAAUUCGGUCCUACAGGAAAAAUAGUUUGCAGCAGCCCAAGCAGACUGCGGGUGAAUCUUCUGUGAUGUACGUGAAAGUAAGCAUGGAUGGGGCACCAUACCUUAGAAAAAUUGACCUUAAGGUUUACCAAGGUUAUCCAGAGCUCCUCAAGGCCUUGGAGAACAUGUUCAAGUUCACCAUAGGUGAAUACUCAGAGAGAGAAGGCUACAAAGGAUCAGAAUAUGCUCCUACUUACGAGGACAAAGAUGGUGACUGGAUGCUGGUUGGAGAUGUUCCAUGGGAAAUGUUCAUGUCGUCUUGCAAGAGGUUGAGGAUCAUGAAAGGAUCAGAAGCAAGAGGCUUGGGCUGUGGAGUAUGAAAACCCCCACAAGCCAUAGCAGCAACCCAACAGAGCAGGGAAAAGACAACAUUUUUUUGACUAAUAUGAAGAGAAAAUCUUUACAGCUUGGGUUCUUCAGGAAGAUAUUCAAUCUGAAUCUCUGGGUCACGCUACUGACAGAUCCUCCGCAGCUGAACAAAAAUGGCAGAGUGUUUGGACAUCUAUAUGAUGUCAAUUUUGUUGGUCCUUGUGAUCUCAUCAAACCAAAACUGCAUACAGGAAGAUAUUCCCUUCAAAUGCAACUGUGUAAAUGGAAUUUUUUUUAAAAAAAAAAAAAAAA
rnacentral:misc_RNA from 1 species